rnacentral:rRNA from 1 species
ACGGCCACAUCAUGUCGAAACACCGGUUUCCGUAUGAUCACCGAAGUUAAGCAACGUCUUACCUGGUCAGUACCUAGAUGGGUGAACGCUGGGGAAUCCAAGGUACUGUAA